rnacentral:piRNA from 1 species
UGUUACAGUUAUCCCCAGGUAUGGUUGCA